rnacentral:rRNA from 1 species
GAAUGAACGCUGGCGGCGCGCCUAAUACAUGCAAGUCGAGCGAGAAGACGUAGCAAUACGUUUGUAAAGCGGCGAACGGGUGAGGAAUACAUGGGUAACCUACCCUCGAGUGGGGAAUAACUAGCCGAAAGGUUAGCUAAUACCGCGUACGCUCCUUGGACUUCGGUUCAGGGAGGAAAGCGAUACCGUGGGUAUCGCGCUCUUGGUUGGGCUCAUGUCCUAUCAGCUUGUUGGUGAGGAACGGCUCACCAAGGCUUCGACGGGUAGCUGGUCUGAGAGGACGAUCAGCCACACUGGCACUGCGACACGGGCCAGACUCCUACGGGAGGCAGCAGUAAGGAAUAUUGCGCAAUGGGCGAAAGCCUGACGCAGCGACGCCGCGUGGGGGAUGAAGGUC